AUAGUUACCUGGCAGGGGAGACACCGUGAUCGCGAAGGUAGUUUUCCAAGGGCAAGCCUCAUCCUUUGCACUCCAGAUGUGCUGACACCUGUGAUUGCUCCACAUGUGAGAAACUCCACUGCCUAAUCUGUGGUAGUGGGGAACUGCGUUCGCACUUUCCUCU
rnacentral:snRNA from 1 species